rnacentral:rRNA from 1 species
UGAGCAAUCUGCCCUUCUCUUCGGAAUAAGCGUUGGAAACGACGUCUAAUGCCGAAUACGACCUCCUUUCGCAUGAUCGGAGGUGGAAAGCUCCGGCGGAGAAGGAUGAGCUCGCGGCCUAUCAGCUAGUUGGUGUGGGUAAUGGCCCACCAAGGCGACGGACGGGUAGCCGGCCUGAGAGGGUGACCGGCCACACUGGGACUGAGACACGGCCCAGACUCCGUACGGGAGGNAG